GUACUUCCCCGUCAGGGGAGACACCAGGAGCAUGAAGGUGGUUUUCCCAGGGCCAGGCUUAUCCAUUGCACUCCGGAUGUGCUGACCCCUGCGAUGUCCCCAAAUGUGGGAAACUCCACUGCAUAAUUUGUGGUGGGGGGAGAAACUGUGUUCGCACUCUCCCCUA